AUUGAACGCUGGCGGAAUGCUUUACACAUGCAAGUCGAACGGCAGCACGGACUUCGGUCUGGUGGCGAGUGGCGAACGGGUGAGUAAUGUAUCGGAACGUGCCCAGUCGUGGGGGAUAACGUAGUGAAAAUUACGCUAAUACCGCAUACGAUCUAUGGAUGAAAGCGGGGGAUCGCAAGACCUCGCGCGAUUGGAGCGGCCGCUAUCAGAUUAGGUAGUUGGUGGGGUAAAGGCCCACCAAGCCAACGAUCUGUAGCUGGUCUGAGAGGACGACCGGCCACACUGGAAGUGGAACACGGUCCAGACUCAUACGGGAGGCAGCAGUGUGGAAUUUUGGACAAGGGGCGAAAGCCUGAUCCAGCCAUUCCGCGUGCAGGAUGAAGGCCCUCGGGUUGUAAACUGCUUUUGUACAGAACGAAAAGGUUUCUACUAAUACUAGGAGCUCAUGACGGUGCUGUAAGAAUAAGCACCGGCUAUCUACGUGCCAGCCGCCGCCGUAA
rnacentral:rRNA from 1 species